UCAAAACCCGUUACCCCAUACUCCCCGACGCCCUAUAAAAGCGCCAGUGAUAAGCUCAUAUCAUCUCAGGCUGAGUUUCUCAGCCGUCAAGGAUAAAGUUCCAGAAAGAACGGAAGAAAUCGUAAGAGAAACCCUUAAAACGCAGUACGACUGCUGAUAGGGUUUGCGCAUUGAACUGGAGUUGCGAUUCUCUUUAGACUGACAGAGACAAGUGGUAUUGAUUAAAGGUUCAAGAUGGUUGCAACUGUUGGUUCUUAGAAGGGAUACCCAAAAUCAAUUUUUCCUGCAAGAAUAAGUUUUGCAUCCGCUCUGUAUUUGUAGCUAUUGUGUGAUUUGCAUCAUUUCAAUCUGAUCUGAGGUGUUGUGGAUUGGGUGGGCGGCUUGGAGAAUUUUAAAUGAGAUUUGAACUUCCUGAGUCAGAUCUACAGCCCUUUCUCAACCUCUCUAGCUUCUAGUUCUUGAUUUGUUGUCAGAACAGAGCAAAUAUGAAACCUUAAAGGAGAAAAUGGAAGUGAACCAGAGAGAAAACAGUAGCAUAAAUCAUAGCACAAGUCACAGAUGAAAAUGAAAGGAGAAAAUACGAAAACCUCAACUGCUUGCCAGAACCUUGAAGGGAAAAUGGAAGGAGAAAAUACUGGAAGGGUUUAUCAGAAUUCAGUGGCUUGGCUUUCUGACUGAAGGCUGAGCAAUCUUCGACCUUGGUGCUCACUAGAACGCUGACGGAGGAAGGAGGAACGCUGAAGGAUUUCUGAGAAAGAAAGGCCAUCUGUUUGAAAUAAGGGUAAAAUUGACAAUAUAAAUGUUGCUGAGCUGGAGGUUGUGCUGAGUGUGUUAAGUGGGAAGGCUUCUGUCUAGCAUUUGGUUGAUAGACGCAGUACGACUGCUGAUAGGUAUCUCGUCUUCAAACUAGAACGCUGGUGUUGGAUGGAUUAUCAAAUUUGGUUGAUCCUCUCCUUGAUGUUCAAGUGUUUGACAGAUUUAACAGGAUUAGGGCUAUCAUAUUUUACUAGCCUGAAAAUGUGUGGCAUUAUCAUUAUGUCGUUCUGAGUCUUCUCCCCAGCUACUUACCCAAAAAUAAAUUAUCUUCUUCUUUGAUCAUCUUAAACGGCUGUCUAAUCAUAUUUUGAAGUUUGGCCAAGA